AGAAGACCUCAUGGCCGCCACUAAAAAUUUGCUCUUAAUAAUUUUCAUCGUUUUUCGUCAGAAGACGCCAGGAUGUUUUACCACACAUUGUAAGAUUCUUUAAAUAAAGUUUUGUGCGUUGGACGACAAGCGUCAGAAAGGCUCUAAACGAAACCAAAGAAAACAACAAGCACGAAAAGGCACUUGAGUUAUAGUUAUAUGGUUAUAGUUAUAUGGAAAAAGCUAUGCAAAUACGUGAAGUGAAGUACUAUACGUACCAUCCUUCGUAAGCCCAGAGUCCACUCUGAAAAGCAAGUCCAACCAUUCCUAUCUGAGUCGUGGUGUCUUUGAACGAGUCCUUGAAGCUUGAUGUGUGGCCUGGAAACGAAAGAUGGAGUCUGCUGCCUGGAUUUCUAAAAUAGUAUUUAAUGUGUAUAUAUAUAUAUAUAUAUACUAACCUUGAGCAAGACUAUAAAACCCAGUACCAAUUAGUAACAUCAGAGCAAGGAAUUUACCAACCGUGAAGACUAUCUGAACACGAGUUGCCCAGUUAGCACUCAGGCAGUUGAGCAGACAUAAGGACAUUGGAGAAUUCCUCCCGAAUUUCCUAGUCACGCUCACACUUGACGUAAAUUCACUGUACUGCAAAUGCAGAUGUUUUUAACGAAUUUAAAGCCACCAAUAACCUGCAGUUGCCCAAGAAACCUACAUAUGGAC